GGGCACUUGGCACAGUUGGUAGCGCGCACGCUUCGCACAUCCUCUGGGUCUAGAUUGCGUGAGGUCGUGGGUUCAACUCCCACAGUGUCCA